AUACACAUAUAUAUAUGUAUAUAUGUAUACACAAACUAAAUAUGUAUACAUAUAUAAUAUAUGUGUAUAUACAAAGUAAAUGAACUGGAGCGAUA
rnacentral:miRNA from 1 species